GGAGGCAAAGGGGCCUACAGGGCUAGUAGCUUAUACGUUGUUGAACGUCCUGCCUGGACCCGGAGCCGCCCCCAUCUAAACCCUCUGCGUACCUGUCCCUUCUUGCUUCCCCCGGCAUCUCGUCGGGGGGAGGUAACAACCAAAACUCUCUGUGAAUCAAACAGCCGUCAGAAUUAUAAAACAAACAAAAGUUAAAACUUUCAACAACGGAUCUCUUGGUUCCCACAUCGAUGAAGAACGCAGCGAAAUGCGAUAAGUAAUGUGAAUUGCAGAAUUCAGUGAAUCAUCGAAUCUUUGAACGCACAUUGCGCCCCCUGGUAUUCCGGGGGGCAUGCCUGUUCGAGCGUCAUAAAAACUUCCUCCCCCUUCGGGUUUUGUUACUAUCGUUGGGGGGUUUUGGCCUAAUGGGAUAGCGAUUGGCAAUUCGUUUCCCAAUGUCCUAAAUACACGUAGACCCGCCUCCAGAUGCGACAGCACCGAGGCCAUCAACCGUGGAGUUAUGGGAUAUAAUAGGCUUGCAGUAAAAUGCUCACCUCUCUCCACACGCCGAUGGCACGACAGUUGCAGUUGCGGGCGUAAAUUGGAGCCCUUUUCAGGACCCUUGUGGCCUAGCAUCCACCAUACAUAAUU
rnacentral:rRNA from 1 species